rnacentral:lncRNA from 10 species
GAUUGGUCCGACCUGAGUCCUUGAGUCUGGCAGAGUGCCAUGGUGCUCUGUAAUCCCACCUGUAAUCCCAGCAUUUUAGGAGGCAGAGGCAGGAAGAUUGCUUGAGCCUAGGAGUUCAAGACCAGCCUGGGCAACAUAGCAAGACCCGUCUCUACAAAACAAAACAAAACAAAACAAACAAACAAAAAAAUUAGUCAGGUGUGGUGGUGCACGCCUGUGGUCCUAGCUACUCAGGAGGUUGAGUGCAGGUCAGCUCUGCGGACGCUCGGCUCAUGGUCUUUGACAAGACGGAAGGGACGUGGCGGCUGCUGUGCUCCUCGCGCUCCAACGCCAGGGUAGCCGGACUCAGCUGCGAGGAGAUGGGCUUCCUCAGGUACUGGGGGCCCUCGGAGGGGUGGGAGCCGGGAGGGGCUGGGGAGCAGGCCUAACCCCUGCCCCGCCCAGGGCACUGACCCACUCCGAGCUGGACGUGCGAACGGCGGGCGCCAAUGGCACGUCGGGCUUCUUCUGUGUGGACGAGGGGAGGCUGCCCCACACCCAGAGGCUGCUGG